AAUAGGCAGAGAGCGGGCAAAGAGGAAAAGCUGAUGCCCGGAUGCUUCAAGGAGAUGAGUUUAUUAAAUGAAGGAGGAAGAUCAAUGGCGGAGAUCUUAACAUGAUUCCAGAGGGUUUCUUUUUUUUCUGUGUUUUCUGUUAAUGGUCACAUUGUUAUUAAUGCGUUGCAGUAUACAGGUGAGGAUGAACACCUGUACACAGGUGAGGAUGAACACUUGUGUACAGGUGAGGAUGAACACCUGUGUACAGGUGAGGAUGAACACAUGUAU
ensembl:lncRNA